GACGUAGGGCGCGAGCGUUGUCCGGAUUUAUUGGGCGUAAAGAGCUCGUAGGCGGCUUGUCGCGUCGUCCGUGAAAACCUGCGGCUCAACUGCAGGCUGGCGGUCGAUACGGGCAGGCUGGAGUUCGGUAGGGGAGACUGGAAUUCCUGGUGUAGCGGUGAAAUGCGCAGAUAUCAGGAGGAACACCGAGUGGCGAAGGCAGGUCUCUGGGCCGAUACUGACGGCUGAGGAGCGGAAAGUGUGGGGAGCGAACAGG
rnacentral:rRNA from 1 species